GAUGAAGAACGCAGCGAAAUGCGAUAAGUAAUGUGAAUUGCAGAAUUCAGUGAAUCAUCGAAUCUUUGAACGCACAUUGCGCCCCUUGGUAUUCCGGGGGGCAUGCCUGUUCGAGCGUCAUUACAACCCUCAAGCUCUGCUUGGUCUUGGGCGUCACCGGUCCCCGGUGUGCCUUAAAAUCAGUGGCGGCGCCAUCUGGCUCUAAGCGUAGUACAUACUCUCGCUACAGACGUCCGGUGGAUGCUGGCCAGCAACCCCCAAUUUAUCAAGGUUGACCUCGGGUCAGGUAGGGAUACCCGCUGAACUUAAGCAUAUCAAUAAGCGGAGGA
rnacentral:misc_RNA from 1 species